GGGGCUAUAGCUCAGCUGGGAGAGCGUUGCAUGGCAUGCAAGAGGUCGACGGUUCGAUCCCGUCUAGCUCCACCA
rnacentral:tRNA from 2 species